rnacentral:lncRNA from 1 species
CGAUGGAUUUAUGAGUAUGAAAUACCAUCUUAUUUCGAACUUCAACUCUAUCAGUGCUUUGAACACCAAGUCAAUCUUCAUGAAUCUAUUCUGCCAGUUCUCAUUCAUCUAUGAACUAUUGGACAAGCGUUACCACACUAAGCAGCGGAAAUCCGCGAUCAAAACCCGACUUCAGAAGAGGUGCGGCCGGAAGAGAUGGGAAAGCAAAGGACAUUCAA